rnacentral:pre_miRNA from 1 species
UAAACUCAAAUUUGUAUGGAGUUGGUACAGCUUCCCUUCGUUUGCCGCUAGGGGCGCUGUUCCAACUCCAUAUAAAAUAAUUA